rnacentral:rRNA from 1 species
AUACUGCUGAGCUAGGGACCGGGAGAGGCCGAGGGUAUUCCCGGGGUAGGGGUGAAAUCCUGUAAUCCCGGGAGGACCACCUGUGGCGAAGGCGCUCGGCUGGAACGGGUCCGACGGUGAGGGACGAAGGCCUGGGGAGCGAACCGGAUUAGAUACCCGGGUAGUCCAGGCUGUAAACGAUGCGGGCUAGGUGUCACCGGAGCUACGAGCUCCGGUGGUGCCGGAGGGAAGCCGUUAAGCCCGCCGCCUGGGAAGUACGGCCGCAAGGCUGAAACUUAAAGGAAUUGGCGGGGGAGCACUACAACGGGUGGAGCCUGCGGUUUAAUUGGAUUCAACGCCGGGAAGCUUACCGGGGGAGACAGCGGGAUGAAGGUCGGGCUGAAGACCUUACCAGACUAGCUGAGAGGUGGUGCAUGGCCGCCGUCAGUUCGUACUGUGAAGCAUCCUGUUAAGUCAGGCAACGAGCGAGACCCGCGCCCUCAGUUGCCAGCGGGUCCCUUCGGGGACGCCGGGCACACUGAGGGGACUGCCGGCGCUAAGCCGGAGGAAGGUGCGGGCAACGGCAGGUCCGUAUGCCCCGAAUCCCCCGGGCUACACGCGGGCUACAAUGGCCGGGACAAUGGGUACCGACCCCGAAAGGGGUGGGUAAUCUCCUAAACCCGGUCUAACCUGGGAUCGAGGGCUGCAACUCGCCCUCGUGAACCUGGAAUCCGUAGUAAUCGCGUCUCAAAAUGCGCGAUC